rnacentral:rRNA from 1 species
UGGGGAAUAUUGCACAAUGGGGGAAACCCUGAUGCAGCGACGCCGCGUGAGCGAUGAAGGCUUUCGAGUCGUAAAGCUCUGUCCUAUGGGAAGAUAAUGACGGUACCAUAGAAGAAAGCCCCGGCUAAUUACGUGCCAGCAGCCGCGGUAAUACGUAAGGGGCGAGCGUUGUCCGGAAUUAUUGGGCGUAAAGAGUGCGUAGGCGGCAAAUUAAGUCAGAUGUGAAAACUAAGGGCUCAACCCAUAGAUUGCAUCUGAAACUGAUAUGCUUGAGUCAAGGAGAGAAAAGUGGAAUUCCUAGUGUAGCGGUGAAAUGCGUAGAGAUUAGGAGGAACACCGGUGGCGAAAGCGGCUUUUUGGCCUGCAACUGACACUGAGGCGCGAAAGCGUGGGGAGCAAACAGG